rnacentral:rRNA from 1 species
AUUGAACGCUGGCGGCAUGCUUUACACAUGCAAGUCGAACGGUAACAGGCCGCAAGGUGCUGACGAGUGGCGCACGGGUGAGUAAUGCAUCGGAACGUGCCCAGUCGUGGGGGAUAACUACUCGAAAGAGUAGCUAAUACCGCAUACGAUCUAUGGAUGAAAGCGGGGGACCGUAAGGCCUCGCGCGAUUGGAGCGGCCGAUGUCAGAUUAGGUAGUUGGUGGGGUAAAGGCUCACCAAGCCAACGAUCUGUAGCUGGUCUGAGAGGACGACCAGCCACACUGGGACUGAGACACGGCCCAGACUCCUACGGGAGGCAGCAGCGGGGAAUUUUGGACAAUGGGCGCAAGCCUGAUCCAGCAAUGCGGCGUGCAGGAAGAAGGCCUUCGGGUUGUAAACUGCUUUUGUACGGAACGAAACGGCUCUGGUUAAUACCCGGGGCUAAUGACGGUACCGUAAGAAUAAGCACGGGCAAACUACGU